UACGUAGGGUGCAAGCGUUGUCCGGAUUUAUUGGGCGUAAAGAGCUCGUAGGCGGUUUUGAAAGUCAGGUGUGAAACCUCCAGCUCAACCUGGAGACGCCACUUGAUACUUCAAUGACUUGAGUUCGGUAGGGGUAAGCGGAAUUCCUGGUGUGAGCGGUGGAAAUCGCACAGAAUAGUCAAGGAGGAACACCGAUGGCGAAGGCGAAGGCAUUAC
rnacentral:rRNA from 1 species